rnacentral:rRNA from 1 species
UACGAAGGGUGCAAGCGUUACUUGGAAUUACUGGGCGUAAAGCGUGCGUAGGUGGUGAGUUAAGUCUGUCGUGAAAGCCCCGGGCUCAACCUGGGAAUGGCGAUGGAUACUGGCUCGCUAGAGUGCGGUAGAGGAGAGUGGAAUUCCCGGUGUAGCAGUGAAAUGCGUAGAGAUCGGGAGGAACAUCAGUUGCGAAAGCGCUUUACUGGGCCGUAACUGACGCUGAGGGACGAAAGCCAGGGUAGCGAAAGGG